ACAAGAACUAGCCCGACCCACCCCAAACUCAACUCAUAUACACAACUAAACUAAAACAUUUACCUACCAUAAAAGUAUAGGAGAUAGAAAUUAUACUCGGCGCUAUAGAGAAAGUACCGCAAGGGAAAGAUGAAAGAUAACCUACAAGUAAAAAACAGCAAAGAUUACCCCUUUUACCUUUCGCAUAAUGAGUUAACUAGAAUAAUUUAGCAAAGAGACCUGAAGUUAAACACCCCGAAACCAGACGAGCUACCUACAAACAGUCCCAUGGGACCAAUCCGUCUAUGUGGCAAAAUAGUGGAAAGAUUUGUAGUUAGAGGUGAAAAGCCUACCGAGCCUGGUGAUAGCUGGUUGUCCAGGACAGAAUAUCAGUUCAAACUUAAACCCUGCCUAAAAAACCAAUAAUUUUAAUGCAGGUUUAAAGUAUAGUCUAAAAGGGGACAGCCUUUUAGACAUAGGAUACAACCUUUAUUAGCGAGUAAGCACUAUCAACACCAUAGUUGGCCUAGAAGCAGCCAUCAAUUAAGAAAGCGUUAAAGCUCAACAACCACAAUCACCCCAAUAUCUCAAAUAGUAUCCAACUCCUAAUACUCAACUGGACUAUUCUAUUAAUAAAUAGAAGAAUUACUGUUAAUAUGAGUAACAAGAAGAACUUCUCCCAGCACAAACUUAUAUCAGAACGGAUGACCCACUGAUAGUUAACAACAAAAUGAGUUCAAUCUACAAACAAGACACCCAUUAAAUAAGUUGUUGACCCAACACAGGAGUGCACCAAAGGAAAGAUUAAAAGAAGUAAAAGGAACUCGGCAAACACAAACCCCGCCUGUUUACCAAAAACAUCACCUCUAGCAUACUAAGUAUUAGAGGCACUGCCUGCCCAGUGACAUCUGUUCAACGGCCGCGGUAUCCUGACCGUGCAAAGGUAGCAUAAUCACUUGUUCCCUAAAUAGGGACUUGUAUGAAUGGCCACACGAGGGUUUUACUGUCUCUUACUUCCAAUCAGUGAAAUUGACCUUCCCGUGAAGAGGCGGGAAUAUCCCAAUAAGACGAGAAGACCCUAUGGAGCUUCAAUUAACUAGCCCAACAAGGACAAACAACAACCUACCAGGCAUAACCACCCUAUACUGUGGGCUAACAAUUUAGGUUGGGGUGACCUCGGAGCAUAGAAAAACCUCCGAGAGAUAAAAGCCUAGACUAACAAGUCAAAGCAUUAUAUCAUUUAUUGAUCCAAACCACCUUUGAUCAACGGAAUAAGUUACCCUAGGGAUAACAGCGCAAUCCUAUUUAAGAGUCCAUAUCGACAAUAGGGUUUACGACCUCGAUGUUGGAUCAGGACAUCCCAAUGGUGCAGCAGCUAUUAAUGGUUCGUUUGUUCAACGAUUAAAGUCCUACGUGAUCUGAGUUCAGACCGGAGUAAUCCAGGUCGGUUUCUAUCUAUUUAAGGCUCCCCCCAGUACGAAAGGACAAGGGAAGCAAGGCCCACUUUACAUAAGCGCCUUAAAACUAAUAGAUGAUCUAAUCUAAAUCUAAUAGUAACUAAUAACCCCGCCCUAGAAAAGGGCUU